rnacentral:tRNA from 1 species
CGGAGCCCGUGGACACGGUGUUCCGCCGUACCCUCGGGGUCAUCGAGGCGGACGCCGCCGCCGCGGUGGACGCCCUGGUGCGGGACCUGGGGCUGCGG